rnacentral:lncRNA from 1 species
CUCAUGCCUGUAAUCCUAGCACUUUGGGAGGCCAAGGAGGGUGGAUUGCCUGAGUUCAGGAGUUUGAGACCAGCCUGAGCAACACGGUGAAACCCCGUCUCUACUAAAAUACAAAAAAGAAAUUAGCUGGGUAUGGCGGCAUGUGCCUGUAGUCCCAGCUACUUGGGAGUCUGAGGCGGGAGAAUUGCUUGAACCCGGGAGAUGGAGGUUGCAAUGAGCCAAGAAUGCACCACUGCACUCCAGCCUGAGCAACAGAGCAAGACUCCAUCUCCAAAAAUAAAAAUAAAAAUAAACUGGUUUGGGGGCUGCAAAAUACUAUCUCAUAGUAGUUAAAGCAGCCACGUAAGACUCUGGGUCUUCGCCAGAGCCACAGGGACUCUGUGGAAAGGAAAGCCCCCUUUCCUUCCUUAGACCUUCCAUGCUUACCUCCACCUCCAUAUUUCUCCUCUUUCUCCAACAGGAACAAGCUCAGCUGGGAGUGAGCAAUGAAAGGCAGGUCCAGCCCUUUCACCAUGGCUGCAGUUGGAAGCAAACAAGUGAAUUUGACACAAGUUUAGCUCAGCUCAACAGACAUUUACUGGGCCUUGUGCAAACCACUGAGCUUUAAUAGAUGAAUGAGACAUUGCUCCUGGCCUCAGAUGAACACAAAUAAUUUCUCUUUAAUGUGGAAACUGCUAUGGUACACAAGCAGGCACAGGCUGCUACAGGAGGACAAAAGAAGAGUGCUGAGCCCUGCCUCAUUAGAGAAAAUGAGCUAAGUCAUGAAGACCAGUAAAAGCUGAACAGAAAAAGAAGGGCAGGAGCAGCAGAAGCAAAGGUCGUGAAAUUUCAUGAACACGCAAAGGCGUGACCACUGGAAGAAGAAACCCAAAGAAGAUGGAGAAGGAAGGUUGACCAAGGGGAGCACCAGGAAAGAACUGGUGUCAUGGAGGCGAAGAAUGGAGAGUUACAGGGAAUGGCGGCAGGUGACAUUGAGUAAACCACCUAGAGGUUCCUGGGCAUCUUUUCCAUGGUUGUUUCAGUGAAAUGCAAGGGGUAGAAAUCAGAUGGUAGUGCUGGGUGCGGUGACUCACGCCUGUCAUCCCAGCACUUUGGGAGGUUGAGCCGGGCAGAUCACAAGAUCAGGCAAUUGAGACCAUCCUGACUAACACGGUGAAACCCCGUCUCUACUAAAAAUACAAGAAAAAAUUAGCUGGGCGUGGUGGCAGGCACCUGUAGUCCCAGCUACUUGGGA